rnacentral:rRNA from 1 species
GACGAACGCUGGCGGCGUGCUUAACACAUGCCAGUCGAACGGAAAGGCCCUGCUUUUGUUCGUUUCUCGUUUGGCGAACGGGGGAGUAACACGUGAGUAUCCUGCCCUUGACUGUGUGAUAACUUCAGGAAACUGGGGCUCAUAUCGGAUAGGAGCUCCUGCUGCAUGUGGGGGGUUGGAAAGUGUCGGCUGUUGUGGCUGGACUCGCGGCUUAUCAGCUUGUUGGUGUGGUAGUUGCUUACCAAGGCUUUGACGGGUAGCCGGCCUGAGAGGGUGACCGGCCACAUUGGGACUGAGAUACGGCCCAGACUCCUACGGGAGGCAGCGGUGGGGAAUAUUGCGGAACGGGCGGAAGCCUGAUGCAGCAACGCCGCGUGCGGGAUGACGGCCUUCGGGUUGUAAACCGCUUUCGACUGUGACGAAGCCUGAGUGACGGUACUGGGUAAAGAAGCACCGGCUAACUACGUG